CUCCCGUCAAGCUAGCCGUAUCAUGGAAAUGUAACAUCAUAUGCAAAGUAAUGUGUUUGAUUCCUUUCUUUGCAUUGAAUCACACUGGGAUGUUUGCUGAAACGGACUGGCUAACCCUACCAAAGAAAAUUACACCAGCCGCCACUGAAGCAUAUGAAUCAUUUCAGCUGACAAGGAAACAAAGCUUCUGUUUGCUGUACCACUUCAGAUUGCAGUAGGGGUUGCAACAAAAGGCAAGCAUUUCUUUCCUAAUGUCUGAAAAGCCAGUCUGACGUUACGGCAAAACUUGAUAUUAUAUACAGCAUUUAUAUACAUGUUUAGUACAGUUAAUUCUAGAACAAGAUAGGUAAAUGUGGACUCCUAGAAAUUAGAUCUGUCAUCUAA
ensembl:lncRNA